ensembl:lncRNA LOC108350739 uncharacterized LOC108350739
CCCAAAGGAGCAUCUUGAAGACAGGCCCUGCCAAAAAGAGGAGGGGGCUCCAUCACACAGCAAAGAGUGGGGAGAGAGCCACUUGCCGCAUCCACAGCCAAGGUGGCCACCACGGAGGAAAGCCAGCUUGCGAAGAAAGGCCACAUGCAGCGUGCAGCCAGAAGGCAGGAAGAUUCCUGACUUCAUCUGAGCAGCUGCAACCAGACAAGCUCCCUCCACUUCAGCACUGCCACUCAGAGAAACGAGUCUCCAGUAUAUGAACCUUGGGGCCCACAAGUGAGAAAGCCAAGCAAAAGCAGGCCGCAGCUCUGUGGAGGAUGGGGGUCACCUUCCUAACACCUGUGAAGAGAAACUUAGUUUCAUGCUCAAGAAUCAAUGCUGUGGGGGCUGGGAAGAUGGCGAAGUGUCUGCUUGCCUUCAGAGCAGGAGAACCUUAGUUCAAUCUCCAAAAUCCAUAAAAGAAAAAGAAAAAGGAAAAAGUUGGGUAUAGAGGUGUGUGUUUGUAAUCUCAGCACUGGGG